AUAAGGUUACAUCUAACGAACUCCUAUGUUGUGAUGAAGUCCUUAGGACUACUUUGAUCGAUAAAGGAGGAUUUAUCACAUAGUCCUUAAAUUGAUUCACGAUCAAAUGAUAUACUAUUACUAAAAUGAUAGCGAUAUCAAAUGUAGGUCGAUGUGUGCCAUAUGUGUUGGUUAUCCUCGUAACCAAAUGGUGUGGAAAUACUGGUAUGACAUACAAAUG
rnacentral:lncRNA from 1 species